GGCGGCCUUAGCGCGGUGGUCCCACCUGACCCCAUGCCGAACUCAGAAGUGAAACGCCGUAGCGCCGAUGGUAGUGUGGGGUCUCCCCAUGCGAGAGUAGGGAACUGCCA
rnacentral:rRNA from 2 species